AAUUGUUAAAAGUUUUUUGAGCAGUGAAAUCUCUAAAGCACCAUCAGAGACCUCCUGACUGAUGUCCGUACUUUCUGUUUUUCUUAAAAGUCUCCAGCAGCAAGAGUUAAAAAUGGUGGCUUGUUCUGAAAACUGAACUUACUUUUCAGAAGAUUUUUCAGGGAGGAUAUGCUGAGACCAACAGGUACUUUUACGCAGCAUGAGACCAUCUGUGAAGGCUGGGAUUGCCUGGUGACCAGAUUGGAACCACAUAAUUUAAGUAUGGAUGUUGCCAAACGGGGACCAAUGGGCAAAAAGCAAUUCCGAGUUGAUUGUUUCUUUGGAAGGAGUUUGAG